CAUGCAGUCGAGGGGUAACAGAGAAGCUUGCUUCUGCUGACGACCGGCGCACGGGUGCGUAACGCGUAUGCAACCUACCUCAUACUGGAGAAUAGCCCUUGGAAACGAGGAUUAAUACUCCAUGGUAUCAUUCUUUCGCAUGUUAGAAUGAUUAAAGAAUUUCGGUAUGAGAUGGGCAUGCGUCCCAUUAGCUUGUUGGUGAGGUAACGGCUCACCAAGGCAACGAUGGGUAGGGGGCCUGAGAGGGUGGUCCCCCACACUGGUACUGAGACACGGACCAGACUCCUACGGGAGGCAGCAGUGAGGAAUAUUGGUCAAUGGAGGCAACUCUGAACCAGCCAUGCCGCGUGAAGGAUGACGGCCCUAUGGGUUGUAAACUUCUUUUAUAUGGGAAGAAACUUAUCUACGUGUAGAUAACUGACGGUACCAUACGAAUAAGGAUCGGCUAACUCCGUGCCAGCAGCCGCGGUAAUACGGAGGAUCCAAGCGUUAUCCGGAUUCAUUGGGUUUAAAGGGUCCGUAGGCGGAUUUUUAAGUCAGUGGUGAAAGCCGACAGCUCAACUGUCGAACUGCCAUUGAUACUGGAAAUCUUGAGUACAAAUGAAGUAGGCGGAAUGAGUCAUGUAGCGGUGAAAUGCAUAGAUAUGACUCAGAACACCGAUUGCGAAGGCAGCUUACUAACAUGUAACUGACGCUGARGGACRAAAGCGUGGGGAGCGAACAGGAUUAGAUACCCUGGUAGUCCACGCCGUAAACGAUCAUCACUCGCUGUUGGCGAUAUACUGUCAGCGGCCAAGCGAAAGUAUUAAGUGAUGCACCUGGGGAGUACGCCGGCAACGGUGAAACUCAAAGGAAUUGA
rnacentral:rRNA from 1 species